rnacentral:lncRNA from 1 species
GCAUGACACAGCAGAACCGCAGCUGCUGCAGCAAUUUCAAGCCAUCCGCCCAGGAAGCGCCGCAACCGGGACUCGGGAGGGGUGGAGGGGGCGAGGCAGAGGCCGCGGCCCCAGGGGAUCCUUGGCCCCACUGUGCACCACACACUCCUUUCCCAGCCCAGGGGCACGCGAACAAAAUGAGGCUCAAGCUGACCAGGCCGAGCCGGAGGAACGCUGGGGCUUGGCAGCAGAAGGGAUGGGACCAGAGAGAAGGGUGUGGAGGAGACCCCAGUGAGGGCCAGGACAUUUCAGGUAAAGAGAGGUCAUAUCUCCGUACCUCACUUCCUGACACAAACAAGUUUUCACUGUUGUCAGCAACAAAGCCCUAAUAUAGCUGCGGAAGAGAAAAACUGCAUUGCAUUUUGCCUCCUGCAAGCAUCAUCAACAGUUACUGGAGGAACGUAAUUCCAGAAAGCUUGAAAGCCGUGGUGAUGGUAAUUAUGUAUCAAAUGCCUGGUUCUAUUUCUGUUAUUAUUGUUUUGUCAUUUCUGUUUUCCCAGCGAUCUGACUGAACUCGCAGAGGGACAAAUCCAGUUUUUCUUUUUGACUUUUGUCAAACUAAAUCAGGCCUGAUAGAAAACUCAUUGCUCUCCGGGGAAACAAAGUAGGAGCCACGAAAUGUCAUUUUAACAGAGCGUGGGUUUGGUGACUGUAGGAAAGGAUUUGAGGACGCUCCUUCUGUUCGGCUUCCUAUGUCAUGAGCACAGGCUCCACGCACGCACAGACACCACGGCUCCCGGAUGCUGUGGCUCCCCGAUCGGGGCUCCUGCAGCGCCAGAAGCCCCUCCGGGAUGCUUCGAGGGGCUCCCGGUGGGUGGAGGUACGGACGCCGCUGCGGCCGCCGCCGCCAGUCCUGCUGCUGUUGUUGCUGCUGCAGUCACGUGGGAGCCCCUUUAAGUUUCCAUAGAGAGGCCUCUCUGGUGUCACAUGAUGGACAUGAUAUAAUGAAACAACAUUGUGGAGAGGAAAGCAUUAGGGGAGCCCACGGCUACAAAAACAAGUGAGUGAGAAGAGGUGGGAGGAAGAGAAACUACGCCACCUCCCCUGCAGCCGAGUGCACGCAGCAGCCUGGCGUGACAAGUGGGCGACGCCGGGGGGCAGGGAGCCGGGGUCCUUGGCCCUGGCCGGGGACCCCACCGCCCACCGCGCGGAGGACAACUUUUAGCCGGCAGCCCAGACCAGCGCGGCACCUGUCUCCGGAGUCUCCACCGCUCCUCCCGAUUCAUCCCAGGGAAAUUCUCAAGAAUACGCUCUACAAAUCUACGUGCGCAUCAUUUUCACCUCGCGUCGCGCCCGGGAGGAAGGAACGAGGCAAGGAGCUAAAGCAGCGUGCGUUCAGCCCUGGGGCAUUUUAUUAAUGCUUUUACGAGUUAGAAGAGUUGGGAUAAUUUGCCAUCUGGAGUUUCUCUGCCUUGCUGAUCUGAGCUCAGACCUGCCAAUUUACCAGAGAUAAUUGAUAACACCCUGUAACAGCUGAGAGGAAAAUGGAAGAAACGGAGAUACUUUUAGUGAAGCAGAAUAAACCACUGAACAGGAAAAAUGAGGAAGCUGUGAGUACCAGUGGAAGGAACGAGCCAGGAAGAGGGACUGGAACCAUCUCAGAAGCCAUGCCCCUCAGGCUGGAACUUGCCCUGUCUCCUCGCAGAUGAGCUACCUCUUGUGUUUAAGAAUUAAAGGAAGAUGAGCUAGGAAUCAAGAAAUACGCAGAACUGAUUCCUGUCACUGGCGCCACCCUGCCACUUGCCCAGAGCUGUGGUAUAAAUUUUUUUAAUAGGCUGAAAUAAAAAUAUGAAUAGCAUUUUGGUAUUAAGCAUUAAAUUGAUAAAGGCUAUGAGAUACACCUGCUCUCAACCAUGUUAAUUUUUUAUUAUUGGUAUUAAUAAAUUAUUACUUACUAACAUAUUAACAAGAAUUGCAUUGAGAAACAAAGCAUCCACAGGCCAAAUCUUCUGAAUUUCAAAUGUUUAUAUUAAUGCGUUGUAUUCUAGAAAAGUAGAAUUGUCUUAAGUAGCUUUGUAAUAUAAAGUCAUCUAUCAGCCCAUUACACCUAUUAGAAUGUUUUAACCUUUAUUUCCCACUUUUUUGUUUCUAGACUGAGUGUACUUGGUCUGGUAUUUGUGGCAUAACUUACGGAACACAUAAGAAUGAUACAGAUACUAUUUAAUGAUGACCUAAUACAAGCUUAGAUAGCUAAGGUGAAAGCUUCUAUGGCCUUAACAUUUUCCUCUUGAAGAAUGUAUUUUCUGUAAUAAAAUACAGUGGCUACUUGAAAUCUAUAAACUUAUGUGAGGUCUGGAUAAAUCUGAGCAACUUUCUUCUUUGUGCUCCAGGAACCUACGCACUAUAUAUAUAAAUAAAGCUUAAGUAAACAUCACUGCAAUCUGUGUUUUGUUUGAUUAUAUUACGUAUUGCCUGAUCUUUAAAUAAUGAUGAAAAAUAGCCUUUAACAUAAACCAUGAAUGGAUAUGCACUUGAGGGAAACAGUUUCUUGGAUAAUUAAACUUUAAUUUCUCACCGUGGAUUCCUUGGAUCUUGUAAUAUUUUUUAAAACAGUCCUGGGGAUUUAUUUUUAAGGCGUCCAAAUGAAUUAUUAGUUCUCAAAAGCCAUAGUAUAUUCAUGGGUCGAUAUAUCCUCAAAACACUAUUUUUAAACUGCUUAGUUUAUUUUUCUUAGCGUGCUCAUCUGCUGCAUAAUUUUCUUUGCUAUGUAUGGGUCACAUGCUUCCUCCCGUCCAUAACUCACGCACUUAAAAUUCUCACUUCCUGAUUGAGCCAUCAGAUUACGUAAAAUGUAAAUCAGCCUGAAUACCUAGGAGCAGGAAUUUUAAGGGAGAAAAUGCCGUUUUCUUUUUCUGUGUCAUUAUUAACCCUUAAAUAUCAGAGUGAGUGUCUGCUCACCUAUUUGUAUUUGGAAACGAGAUACUGUUAGGGGUUUUUCUUGGCCCUUCCCUUUCAGAUUGAAUCAGACUUUGCUGCUUUCCUUAUACAAAAUAAUGUACCAACUAGAUAGACGGUGGGAGUGGUAUCGUUGCAGGAAUGAAACCAAAAGGGUUCCGAUGAUUGAGAGAGAUUCAUUUAUUUUUUAACUCUUCUCAUGAUCUGAAUGAAGAGUACAGCAUCUAUCAAAAGGUAACAACCUAAUAUUUCAGAAUUGCAAGUGGCCAUUUAGCCUUUCUGCUGCCUGAUAUAAAUGAAAGUAAUUCCUAGCAGGCAGGAUGACACUUGUUUUAUCACGAAUCUGACAAUCCAGCACAUUUUCUCAAGCAAUUUUGAAGUUGUCGUAGUAACAGCAUGGCAUUUGGAGGGUCUUUUUAGUAGUUCUUUAGCUAGAGUUAAUUAAUUGUAUUAACUCUGGAUGUUUUUCUUUUUACUCCUCUUUGACAAACAAGGGCUAUAAUUGCUCAAAUAUGUAUUUUGUGUUCUAUAUUUUUUGGUGACUAUAGUUUAAGGACGUGAUGUUUUUAAGUGGUUUCAGUAAAAGGUUAUCAGUUGAUUUCAGACACAUUAAACUUGGGUUUUUAAUUUCUCUGUAAAAUUCCACUAUCAUUGUAGGACCAGGAUUUAGUUUUAUUUAAGAAGUGAAUCUGGGGAGAUAUUUGCACAAAUUGAAUUGUGGCUUGCUUCCAGUGGUUGCAACUAUCCGUUGCUUUGAUUUUGGUGUAUUUAGAAAAAGAACUGGGGAAUGCAGAAAGGGAAAUGUGUCAGGCUUACAGGAGAAAAUUGUUUCUUUAGAAAUGCAACAGGCAGGCACACCACCAAAAGCAUGUUCCAUAAAAGAAAACAAAUAAAUUUGAUUUUGUGAAACUUAAGAAUGCAGUGCUCUUUGAAACUCUAAAAUAUACUUAAAUAAAUUCUCCCCUAGGAAGAUUUGUGGGAACUUUUUAUUGGUGGAAAGUAGGUUGGAACUUCUAGUAUUAAUAGUAAAACUCUGUGGCAGAAAUUCUUGCCAAUAUGGCGGUUGGUGAGAAAGGAAUCCCGUUUCUUGGGCAGGGAGAGGGUCAGAAGAAAGAAUUGUCUGUACUCAGUCUGGAUGCCGGGACUUAAAAAGUAUCAGAUAUACAAUGCUUUUGUUUUCUUGUAUAAGUGAACAGAGAGAUGUGACACUUCUAAAAGGUCUUGUGAGUUUUGUGGGUUUAAUGCUAAUGCCACUAUCCUUACUGUUCUGUGAGUAUUUGUUCAGCCACGGGUGAUUCAAGAGAGUUGGGGUAUCAGCAUGUGCAGCCAACAGCAGUCCAGGUGCUAAUGCACCACCGGUGAUGUCAGGAGUUACGAGACAGCGGUUUCCAAACACUGCAGUAAACAAGGUCAAAGUGUCCCGUUUCGCUGGAAGAAGUUUUGUUUUUAUGAGCUGGACAGUACAUGGAUGAAGUAAUUUUUCAAAACAAACUUUAAAUUUAUACAUGUGUUUUUUUUCUUCUUCUCUUUGGAUUAAAAUAAAUUGGCCCGUUGAGAUUAAAUAAUGGUUAUGUUUUUAAGCAGAAUUAUAUUUCAUAUGUUUUUCCAGUCUUUUAUUGAUUUUCUGUUUUUCACAGAAGAAAUGAAAAUAACUUCUGAUGUAGGGUUUCUUAAAUGCAGUUUGAGAGAGCAAGAUAGGAACCAGUACUUUCAAAAUAUGGCAAGUGCAAGUCACAAUCCCUAGUAAGAUAUUCCUUCUCAUUUUGUGCCUUUGACUCUUAUUUAGACAGACGUUUAAGUACGAGAAAGCUAAUGGCGCAGAUUCUGCUGACUGUGUGGCUCUCGUCUUAAUGCGUUUUCCAACCUUGAACCUGAGAAUGCCAGAGGAUUGAGUCUCUGGACGUUCAUCUGAGCAGAUAUCUGCUGGCCGCCUGGUUCCUGAGCUAACAAGUGGGUGUCCCGGGCUUGUGUGUGUAGUCACAACAGUGGAGGUGCCACGUGGCACCCAGAGGUCGACUGGGGCUACCGCGGGGCUUCCCGAUCCUCACAAGUGUGUCUUCAGUGUCUGACAUGAACUGGGAACUUGGGGCAUCUUUAGAAGCACAGACAUUUGGAGUUCCACGGCAAACCUGGAUGUAAGCACUCACACAGCUUUUAAAGUGAAAGCAGGGACCUUGAGGAAGGAAUCGCCGUCAUCUCAUUGCCGACCUGCUUACUGUGCUGGGAAACAAAGACAAGUCCUGCGCUUGGGGAUCCUCUGUACGCCCGUUCACUGGUGAGUAUGUAUGACAGCAAUUUCUGAUUUCACUAGUUCUUGCUUCUAACACCUAAAUGGUGCUUUGUCUAGGGAAACGCUUUAAAGAGCAUUUUCCCCCAGUACGUUUAUAAUACAUUUCAUAUUUACCUCCAGAAAAUACUGUGGAUGUGAUAAUAAUUAUAAAAGACAACCCACAGACAACAAUGAAAGUUAAGAAUUAAGAUAUAUUCUGAUAGAUUUUUGCAGCAUAUUGACAUAAAGGCAGUUUUGGUUUUGACAUAUGUACACUAAAAUGAUAUCUGUAAUGCUAUUAAAACUCAAGUGUACAAGGCACCAGUAUAUUCUGGCAAAAAUAAUAUAAUGAUCAACAGUUAAUGAAAGACUUGUGCUUUGAGCUUCUAACAAAAUGUUAAUAUGUAGAGAAUCUUGUGAUUCAUGAUGCUUUGGUUCUCAACCAGGGUUAUCAAAUAAGCUAAAAGUAUCAGAAGAGGACAAAGAAAGUACGUAAAACAUGGAUAAAAGCAGAAACCGAGAAAAGAUAGCUUUGAUAUUUAAAGUGUUAGAUUAUGGCCUCUAUAUAAUGUCAUAUAUGCCAGAUCCCCCCCCAAAAUCACACCCUCAAAUUAUGAUCUUCAUUAUUCAAAAGAUGUUUGGCGUGUUGGUGGUACAGUGGUGAGCGUAGUUGCCUUCCAGAAGAUGGUUGGUGUAUAAUUACUAUAGAAUUUCUUGCUCUCUUGGGAGGUGGCUUAGUAGAAGGUUGAGUCAGGCAAGCUGGGGCUGUUUAUUCAGUGUGCUGUGCUGUGCUGUGCUGUGCUGUGCUGUGCUGUGCUGUGCUGUGCUGUGUCUGAAUGCCUGGGAGUUUGCGUUGUUAACCUUUCCAGGGUGCUAGAUCCCUUUGAGAUUAUGAUGGAAGCCAUGAAUCCUUUUCCCACACCUGUAUGCAAACAUGUGCCUGCCCAUUUACAGACCCAAAGAAGGACAUCCAUGUACCCCACGUUAAGAAGGCUGCCCUGGACUAAGCCCUCACUGUGACUCUGCUGUUCUUAAGCUUCCCAGGAAACACUGUUAUGUAAAAAGACGAGCCAUCCAGGUCAAAAAGAAGUCAUUGUGGUUGCUAGGUGGGGGUGCAAAGCCAAAGACAAAGGGUGGGGAAAAUACAUGACUAAUAAUAAAUAAAGAGCAUGGUUAAUACCAGAGUCUCCAAACUGAUAGCCCAGAAUCCCUCAACAUGUAGCCACGAGUAUUUGUAAAGUACGUUGUGAAUUCAGGUAGAGGGCCGAAGACUCAAUAUUAAGCAGUUGGGCAGAGUUUUCAUACAUAUAUUUGUCUCUGCCUUUUGCACAAUAUAAAACUAUGAAAUCUCUUUUCAUUUUUCUAUUGUGCACGCUACCACAUUAGGUAGGAAUCAAAAUCAUCUCAACUCCAGAAGUAUAAUUCAUAACAAUUAUAACAAAGCAGAAAAAUGAUUCUACAUUAGCAGAAGAAAUGUAGUAGGAAUAGAUUUAAAAUAGCAUGGUUGAGUACAAAAGAAACAUCGUUUUUUAAAAAAUGGCAGCCUUUAUCACUCAUCAGCUAAACUUAAAGUCAAUGCUGUGAGGCUGUUGCGGGAAAAAAAUAGUCAUGAUUCUUGGGUGUAUUAAAAGGAGUAUGACAUAGAAGGGUAAGAAAACAAGACGUAGUGUGUUUGUCAGACUCAUCAUUGUGUCCUGUUUGAGUCACACUUAAAAAAAGAAUUUGGACAAUUGUGAAAAGCUGAUACACAAGCAACAGAAAUUACACGCCCUUCCAGGAAAAGAUAAGGCAACUGAGGAUUUUAUUCCACACAAGGCUGGAGGAUUUUUUGCUAAUGGCCUUUAAGUAGUAACAGUCUGGUUUAUCCUUAUAUUCCUAGGGCCUUCCGCUCUGCCUGGUGCACAGUACUUGAGAUGAUCGUUGUGUUUAGUGAUAAUGAGUAAGGUUCCUGUGAGAGACUUAGCAGGAGUAAGUAGGUUCAAAUAAAACCAGCGAUAGUGUCAUGACAGACGGUAUAUAAUACAUGAAUUUGCUGGGUGAUUAAUACAUAAGGAUGACUGUCUCACUUGUGAGGAUGAUAUAAUACUUCAGCAGCUAACUGGGGGAAGCUACAAAAUCUUGGUUUGAUACCUCUUUCAGGAUGAAAGCAGAUAAGUCUGCUGGGGUGGUGGAAACAUUCAUUCAUUCAUUCUACAAACCCUGAGGGCCUACUUGGCUAGGUGCUCACGGUCUGGUAGAGGAGACAAAGAUACAAAAACAGAGUCACAGUGUGUAAUGAGUGCCAUGGGAGCAUAAAAACAGCAUGCGCAGGGCUUGUGACACUCAACCGCCACCCCGCGCAGCUUCCAAUGGAGGCAAAGUCACAAUUGACCCCAAUAGACAGGCUUGACAGAGUUAGUUGGAUGGGAGGCAGGUGGGGCAGCCUGUCCAGAGGCGCAGACCUGUGUGUGUGGGGAAGGGGUGAUGGGAGAUGCAGACUCGGCAGUGCUUGUUAACAGAGGUGUGAAUGCCGCGCCUUGCUUGCCUGAAGAUUUCCACCCAGGAUCCUGACAAAAGUCAGAUGUGCACUUCAGAAAGGCCAGGCGGGCUGCAGUGAAGAGAAUGACUCGAGGGGGUGCGGGUGUGGGACAGGCCAUCGAGGCAAGGAGGCCAAAUGGAAAGCUUUGGUCAGGACACAGGUGGUGAUGGAUUCGGGGGAGAAAUGGGGGAGGGUGACGCAGGCAGAGUGGCCAGGGUUAUCAAGUGGCAUCAUUCACCACAAAAUGCAGUCCAAGAGGAAGCCCAGCUGUGAGGGGGGGACAGGUGGGGCCCAGGUGUGAGGGGGGAUAGGUGGCAUUCAGACAUGUCAGUACACAGAGUCAAUGGCAGAGACAGAGCCAGUGGGCAGUUGCACCAUGUGGAUAAGGACUUGAGUGAGACCUGUCUCCAAAGCAGGGGAUCACUCUUCUAAUUUUUUAUAUGGUGUUUUUCAUUCUAUUCUGACUCAUUUGUAAUAAAACCUCCUUUGUUUUUUAUCAUAUAUAUUUCAGGUGUCAACAUGCUGGUUUGAUAUAACAUGUACAAAGCAAAAUAAUAACUUACACUCCAGCUGUGAGUGUACCAUCUCACAGUUACCUUUUUGUGCAUGUGUGUUAAGCCCACCUAAAAUGCACUUAGAAAUAUUCAGUAUCUUCACUGUGGUCAUGCUGUACUGCAGAUCUCUAGAUGUAUUCGUCUGACAUCAUUCCAGCUUUAUACCCUUUGACCCACAUCUCCCCAUCCCCCCAACCACCUCUCUCUGUUUCUAUGGACUGUAUUUGACUAUUUUAGAUUCCACAUAUUACCUCUAAUCCUCAAAGCUCUAUUAGGGUUUUGUGUAUUUCCUUCCAGCAUUUUCCUACAUACACACAAUUUGCAGAAUCAGCAUAAUUCUGUAUAGGUACUUUAUUUAUUUAUUUAUUUUGAGAUGGAGUUUCGCUCUUGUUGCCCAAGCUGGAGUGCAGUGGCACAAUCUCGGCUCAAUGCAACCUCUGCCUCCUGGGUUCAAGCAAUUCUCCUGCCUCAGCCUCCCAAUUAGCUUGGAUUACAGGCACGCGCCACCACGCCCAGGUAGUUGUGUAUUUUUAGUACAGACGGGGUUUCACCCUAUUGGUCAGGCUGGUCUCGAACUCCUGACCUCAGGUGAUCCACCCACCUCGGCCUCCCAAGGUGCUGGGAUUACAGGUGUGAGCCACCACGCCCAGCCUGUAUAGACACUUUCCUCUUUUUUUUUUUUUUUUUUUGAGACGGAGCCUUGCUCUGUCACCCAGGCUGGAGUGCAGUGGCGCAGUCUCGGCUCACUGCAAACUCCACCUCCCGGGUUCAUGCCAUUCUCCUGCCUCAGCCUCCCAAGUAGCUAAGACUACAGGUGCCCGCCACCACGCCCGGCUAAUUUUUUGUAUUUUUAGUAGAGACGGGGUUUUACCAUGUUAGCCAGGAUGGUCUCGAUCUCCUGACCUCGUGAUCUGCCCGUCUCGGCCUCCCAAAGUGCUGGGAUUACAGGCUUGAGCCACCAUGCCCGGCCUGUAUAGACACUUUCUAUCCCACUUUUAAAACAGGCAUGUUCUCCCUAUGCUUUAAAAUGCCUUUAAAAUAUUUCUAAUGGUGCUAAUUCUCUAAUUUGGGAGUGUCUAAUUUGCUUCCAGUUUUUAAAAACUAUUUUUUAUUAUAGUAAUUAACCUUUUAAAUACAUGAAUCUUGGGCAUAUUUUUAAUGAUUUCCUUAGGAGAGAUUCCUUACAGUGAAUUUCUUGAGUAAAAGGAGGUUAACUGUAAGAUUCUUGAUAUACCUUGCUAAAUUGUUUUCUAGAAAGCUUGAACCAAGUUCUGCACAUUUUAGCAAAGUAUGAAAUGUCCUUCUCUCCAUAUCUUCAUCAGCAUUGAGUGUUCUCUCUUUUUUAUCUUUAGACAAAAAGGUUACAUUCUUUUUGGUUCAUCUACUCAGAAGCUAUUUAAUGAAUGUUCACUCCAUGUCAGGCAUGUGGCAUGUUUUCAUCUCUACCAGUAACGCUGAACUUUCUUCUUGUGUGCAUCAGCCUGUUGUUUUCUUUUGUAAAUGUUCUGUUCGUGUCCAUUAUCAACUUUUCUACUAGGGUGUGACUGUUUCUAUGAUAUAUUUAUAACGAUGUGUGUGUGUGUGUGUGUGUGUAUACGAUAUUUGGGGUAAAUACUUUUCCCAGCUUCUUUGACUUUUAAUUUUGCUUAUACUUUAUUGGAAAUACAGAACCUUUAUUUUAUUAUUAUUAUUAUACUUUAAGUUCUGGGAUACAUGGGCAGAACGUGCAGGUUUGUUACAUAGGUAUAAACGUGCCAUGGUGGUUUGCUGCACCCAUCAAACCACCAUCUACAUUAGGUAUUUCUCCUAAUGCUAUCCCUCCCAUAGUCCGCCACCCACCAACAGGCCCUGGUGUGUGAUGUUCUGCUCCCUGUGUCCAUGUGUUCUCAUGAGAACCUUUAUAUUUUAUGUAGUGGAGUAAGUUAUUUUAUCUUUUUUUUUUUCCUGUGUAACUUCUGUUACCUCAGGCUUAGGAAUUCCUUCCUACCCAGAAGUUAGAAAAUAUUCAUCUAUUUUUUUUUAAAGUUUCAUUUUUAACAUUAAACUCACCAAAUUAGAAGUAAGAUGUGGCCAGGCACAGUGGCUCACACCUGUAAUCUCAGUGCUUUGCGGGGGCUAAGGUGGAAAAAUCACUUGAGGCUAGGAGUUCAAGACAAGCCUGGGUAACACAGUGAGACCCCACCUCUACCAAAAAAUUUAAAAAUUAGGCAGGCAUGGUAGCAUGUGUCUGUAGUCCUAGCUGCUUGGGAGGCUGAGGUGGGAGGAUCACUUCAGCCCAGAAGCUUGAGGCUGUAGUUAGCUAUUAUCAUGCUAUUGCAUUCCAGCCUAGGCAACAGAGCAAGAACCCUGUGUCUUUAAAAAAAAAAAAAAAAAAAGUGUGAAACAAAGAUCCAAAUGGACUUUGUUUCACAAAGUAAAUCCCCCAUCAUGUUUUGAGUCAUGUAUCUUUCCCUAUUUAAUUUGUGGUGCUUCCUUUAUUUUAUAUUUCAAGACUUUUUGCUAUUAUAUCCAGCGGUAGGAGCCCAUGAACUUGUUGGAUAUUGGUAUGCACAGAAGAUGCGGUAAUACUUUUUUCCAAUAUUUUAUUAUGAAAAAUACACUGGCUAGAUUCUAUAAUUAAUAUUCUGUCACUUUACCAUCUAUUCACGUAAUAAUUCUUAAACUUCUCAAAUCAUUAUUUGAAUUUCAAAGUGGACUAUCAAAGACAUUUUCUCUAACCCUAUUUUUCUCUAAUUUGCAGUUUUGAUUUCCAGGAAGCCUUUAGCAAUUUAUAUUGUUAGUACAGUAAGAGAGUAAACAACACACUAAAAUACCAAGAGAAACUACUUUCCAAAACAUGUUUUAGUCGUUUAACUUUAUGAAUAUGGCUAGCAAGGGGGCUUCCUGGGGGACAGUGCUGGGGAAAGAGCAGGCCCUAGGAAUGGGCUUUGAAAGAAGACUUUUGCCACCGUCAGGUCACAUUUGCAAGAGGCCAUCGUCGUGGUCUGCCAGGGAACCCUUAGCAGAAAGGCUGCUUUGCCCAGGAUCUGGCUUGCCGCCCCAGACCAGCCCUACCGCUGUCUGGCAUUGAAUGUCCCUGGUCCGCAGUGAGUGGCCAGUUGCAUAGACCUUAGAUCAAGGAGCUUAGUCACCUCUUUCCAGCCUAAAUCAUGAGCACCCUAAAUUCCCAUGGGUUGUUGAGACCUAAUAGCAUCCUGGCUUAGAGAUGGGAUUGCAGCUGGGUCUGCACAGGAAACUGGCCUACUGUGUCUGCCUCUUGGUGCAGCAUACAACCAGCCACAUGGAAAAACCCAGCCUGCAAUAAAAGACUUGCUUUGGUCACCACCUGACAUUAGCUGUGGUUUAAUCUGUGUAAUGUUUUUCUUCCCCCCCAUCUAAGCCUCAAUUUCCUAUCCAUAAAAUAUGUUGGUUUUGGCCAGGCGUGGUGGCUCACGCCUGUAAUCCCAACACUUUGGGAGGCCAAGAUGGCCUGAUCGCCUGAGGUCAGAAGUUCAAGACCAGCCUGGGCAACAUGGCAAGACCCCCCCCCUCUACUAAAAAUACAAAAAACUAGCUGGGCGUCAUGGCACAUGCCUGUAAUCCCCGCUACUUGGGAGGCUGGGGCAGGAGGCAGGACAAUCGCUUGAACCCGACAGGCAGAGGUUGCAGUGAGCCGAGAUCGUGCCACUGCAACUCUAGACUGGGCCAUGAGCGAGACUCUUUCUCAAAAAAAAAAAAAAGUUGGUUUUAUUAGAUUACAGAGAAUACUUUCUCUAUCCAAAAUCUGUGAUUUUAAUCUAGAACACUGAAUGUAGGUCAGUAUCCACCCCAUUUUCAGAAAUCUGGGAAGAUCUUUUUUUGUUUUUCAGCUUCUCAGAAUAAAUACUUUCUAGGAUGUUACAAACAUGGAUGAAGUUCACCAGAACAGAUCCAGGGUUAACCUUUUAAAGUCAUUAGAUAUGGCUCCAGUAAAAGGCAUGAGAAGGCACCCGUGAGACCCUGCAGAGGAAGCCUCACUCCUGGGCAGCCUUACGGCUGACGAGCUACCUUACUGAGCAUAUUCCUGCCUCUACACCAGAGACUCACUCUGUGGUCCGGUGUCACCUCGAUUCUAAAUUCCCUGCUUCCUGGUGAAUGAUGCUAUCACACUUUAGAAACCUGGCCAAUAAAUGCUUUGAAAUUUAAGGAUAGCUAUCCUGAAAAAAUUUAAUAUAACCUAAAUUGAUAGUCUAAUGACAUCAGUAUUCAGAAGAGGCAUUCUAUUUCAGCAAGUGGUUUUCAGAAAAAAAAAAAAAAUAAAUAACCUGAGUUUUUCCCCUGCCACUCUCCCCUCUUGCUUUUAUGCUGCAAAAAGAGCUUGUGGCUUGCCUGACACACCGUGUUGUUCUCUGCCUUCGAAGAUCUAGCUCCCUCAGCCUCCCCACGUUGUCCACCUCUCCAAUACCAUUGCUCCACUGGGAAGCUGGCCCGGAGGUGCUCUACCACGUUCAUCUCUCGCAGCCCAGGGCUGUCUUUAACGUUACAGAGACACAGAUAUCAAAGUGUUGCAAUUUAUUUGGCUUUCAUUAAUUUGCCGGAAGCAAGGGAGGGUAGAUACAAAGUACUCCUCUAACCUGUUAUUUUCCUUGCUGUUAAAAUGUAAAGAAGACUGAUGUAAGAAUCUCUGCCUUCCACCAGUCAUAACCAUGGUAUGCACAGAGCUUAUGAAUCAUCUUCUAAAUUCACAGCUAGUUUUAAAAUUUAGCUUCCAGGCUAGAUCUGCAGGAAAUGAUUGGGAGAUCGUAAGUGCUAUGGAGUGAAUAUGAAGUUACUUACCAGAUCCCAUAAAGUUAGCUCAGGGAAUCCUGAGGAAGGUGUCACUCAGAAAGCUGCUUUCAAAGCUGAGUCAGACCUGCAUGGUGUUUAUUACCUCCAUUGUGUUACCAUGCCAAACAUAUAAAUAGCUUCAAAGUGAGUUCAGAUUAAAACACAGAAAAAUCUUUGGAUAUAUUCACAGGCCAGUGGGGGUCAUGUAACAAGUCAGCAAGGAAAAUAAAAGAUAUUUGAGGUACAGCCUCAACUUUUUAAGAUGGAUCUUGAAUAAAAAGGUCUAAUGAAAUAUUUUAUGGUAUUGCUCUCUGGGAUUUAAAAAAACAAAGCAAAACAAAAAAACGAGGGCACUGGAACAAUGUUUUAGAUAGAUCACGGGUGUUUUCCAGUAUGCAUUUUUAGUGCACUUACUUAACUGAGAGCCCUCUCAUAUGAAACUGGAAUGUCACCACCAUGUGAUAAAGCGUAGACUAGCUGUGACCUAAUACGUACUGAUCAUGACUAACGCAGAAGUCCAGGUCACUGCGGUUGUAUUUCCUGUGGCCUCAAUGUUCUGGGGUUAGGGUUAACAGGGAUAAUUCAUUUCUGUGUUCAAGUCUCUAAUUCUUCCAUCAUGUAAACUGUAAGUGGGAGCAGACUGGAUUCAGCAUUGCUACAAGAGAAAAACAACAAAUAGGAACACCACCAACACCAUGUGUUGGGAGCCCCAUGUGCCAGGCACUGUGCCAAAUACUCGAUAUUGAUUAUCUCUUUUAAUACACAAUCCUGUGUGGCAGAUCCUACUAUGAGACCCAUUUUACAGAUAGACAACUGAGGCUGGGGGAAGUUGGAAAUGGAGGAGCCAGGAUUCAAGUCACAGCAGUCUGGCUCCUGCGCCCAAGCUUUUAAUUUGUAUCCUAUUCACUUUUCAUAAAUAAAUGACUCGUGUUGGAGGUGUUUGUAUCCUUGGGGCCACUCAGUUUUAUUCAGCCAGCUUUCCUUGGUUGUGGUUUUAAUGUGUUAGGGAAGAAUGAAUGUAUUCCCCACAGCUGGGCAUCUUUGUGCUGGAUCACCUGGCCACAGCUCAUGAAUAGUGCAGAUUAUCACACCCCACCCCCAUGACUCCAGCAAAUGUGCUGUGGGUAUAGGAGAGUAUGUUCAAAAAAGGCAAUUAACAAAGCAACUGUCCCAACUACCAAGAAAAACAAAUGUGGCAUAACCCAUGAUAGAACCCUCUUUUUUCCUUAUUAGACAUGAAUAGAAGCUCAUUAAUGCCGUCCAGUAAGUUCAAGCCGCAUAACUUACAUACACUGUCAGGACCCAGAAAGAAACCUGUUGUCUUGUGAUGUUAUUGUUGCUUGGUUGACCUCAUCAUGUCUUGACAGGGCUCAAGACACCCUUCAUGAUCUGGUCUUACCUCUCAGGACUCCCCCCAUCCUUACCAUUGUUUGUUGAUCUCUGGUGCAGCCAAAUGAAGCCCAUCAUGCUUGUCCUCUGCCUGGAAGCUCUUCCUUCCCUCUUCCUGGCCAAUGGCUACUGUCCCUUCAGAGCACCUGUUCAGAUGAAACCUCCACCAGGCAGCCUCUGCUGACUCCUAAGGGCUGGGCUAGGUGCCCCUUGGGUGCUUCCACAGCCCUUUCUGCUUACCCAGUUGUACAUGUGUCAUACUGUGUUCUGUAAUUCCUCUUUUUGUCCAUCUUCCCUGGCUUGCAUUGACCCCUUAAAAGCCAUGAUUAGGGCCGGGCGCCGUGGCUCACGCCUGUAAUCUCAGCACUUUGGGAGGCCGAGGCAAGUGGAUCACAAGGUCAGAUCGAGACCAUCCUGGCUAACGUGGUGAAACCCCAUCUACUAAAAAUACUAAAAUUAGCUGGGUGUGGUGGCACACGCCUGUAGUCCCAGCUCCUCGGGAGGCUGGGGCAGGAGAAUUGCUUGAACCCGGGAGGCGGAGGUUGCAGUGAGCAGAGAUUGCGCCACUGCACUCCAACCUGGGCAACAGAGCGAGACUCCGUCUCAAAAUAAAACAAAACAAAAUCAUGAUGCCAUGAUCAGUGUUUACUUUUGGAUAAACACCCGGACACAUGAUAGAGAAUAAAUGUUUGAGAGAGAGAAAUGACCUACUGGGUAACACCAAAAACUAAUGUAUACCAUGUCUAGUGUUUACAGUUUACAAGAUGCUUUCACACACAUAACUUCAUUUGAUCCUCCCGGCAACUCUGCAAAAUAGAUUUCUGCAGCCCUGUUGUACUGACCAGGAAACAUCAGCCUGCCCUGAUGGCAGGGAUGUGGUUAGCAGGUGGAAAGCCAGGACUCAGGCUCAGGUCUUCGAACCCAGAUUUUAUGCCCUAUGUACCGCCAUGUGGAUAUUCUCAAGGCAACUCUCUGAAAUAUUUCCAGAAUCUUUCACAAAAGUCCUGUGUCGUCCUUGUCCUGGCCAACUAGACUCAGAGGGAGGACUGAUGGAUUUUCAUCUCCCUCUUCCCCUUCGUCUUUUCUUCUCAGCAUCUUCCUACCCUCCCCACCACCGCGCUUCUCCACCAAAAGUCUGAUGCUGGCAUGUAAUGGACCCUUUCCAAGUUUCAAGGUGUUGACAGUAAAUCUUUUGUAUUUAGACCGGGCCGGCUGCUUUCCUUUUCUUGUGGGUAGAACUCUGGAAAAGUGGAGGGGGGUGGGUGGGGCUUCAGGUAAAGUACGUCAGCAAAUUGGAUAAGUCGGAUCUUCGUUGGGUGUGUGUUUGGGCAGUGAGCAAGCCGGCAAGAGAAUGUGAGUGGGCGGCCAGUUGGUUGGCAAGUGAGAGGCUGUGGAGAGGUUGCUGCUGGGACGGGCUGUGCAAUUAAACAGUUGAGCAGAUCUUAAUAGCAGACUGGGGCGGUGCUCUCCGCAGGCCUGCGGGGAGCAGGGAGCAGGGGAAGCAAGCGAGCUGGAAGCAUCUUCGGGCACAGAGCUAGAUACGAAUUUCAGAAGCACAUAACCUGAGGAAUAGAAUGCAACCAGAGGAGGGAGAAAUAGAGAUUCCAGGCAGCGUUUCCUAAACUUAAAAAGUUUUGAAUACCCAGUUUUGCCUUGUUCUGGGGACCUCUGGCAAUGUUGUUCAAGGGAGGAAUUUUUAAUUUCAUAGAAAAGUGAAUUUUACCACCACAAGAGAACAUGAGACCAAGGUCAUAAAUCCCUUUGUUUGGAGUGUCCGUUCUGAACUCCUUGUAUACUUUUAUUUGCAGGAAGAGGCUAUACCAGCAAGUAUUAUGGUUUUACUGGGUGGGGCGGCAAGGCCAGGAAGAGAUGGAGAUGCUGUUAAAGGUCCUUGCUCCAGAACAUUCAGAGAUCAGAGGAACUCAAGAGGUCAAAGUAGGCUGAUGUCAUUGUUCAUCCAUUUAUUCAGCAAAACUUUCUUGAACACCUACUGUGUGCCAGGCACUGGUUGGCAGUGAGGUGAAGACGAUAGUGAUGAAAACAAAGGCAUGGUCUCUGUCAUCAUGGAACCUAAGUAAACACAUACCAAAAAAAAUGGCCCAAGAAAAAUCAUGCCCUGAGGGGAAGGCACUCAGAUGAAAAGGACCUUCUUCCCAGUGGUCCCCUGAGGAGGUGAUUUCCAAGGUCUCAGCUAAGGGAUGAGCAGGAAUGUGUGGGUGCAGGGGGUAGGGGUGAGAGCUCUCGGCAUAGAGAGAGCAGCACAUUUCAAAGGCCCUGGAGUGGGGAAGGAGGUGGCAGGUGCAGCUGUGUGGUGGCUACUUCCACUUCUGGAGUGCAGUAGCAUGAUCUCGACUCACUGCAACCUCUGCCUCCCGGGUUCAAGCAAUUCUCCUGCCACAGUUUCCCAAGUAGCUGAGAUUAUAGGUGCAAGCCACCACGCCUCGCUGAUUAUUACAUUUUUAGUAGAGACGGGGUUUUACCAUGUUGGCCAGGCUGGUCUCGAACUCUGUCUCCUGGAACCUCUUGAUGAGCCCCUGUGAGGUUCCCCAGCCCAGGGCAUCCCCCCAGGUAUUCAGGAGAGACCCGUCCCCAAGAGACUGCCUGCUACUUCCUCUUCCUAUGAAUGUCACUGUGAGGGGAAUAAAUAAGGAUAGACCAGAAAAGCAAAUUGUAAGAAAUUUGAAACCAGUUGUCAGUUUUCAGGUGCCCAGGAGCAUGACAAUAUGCCCGAGGGACCGUAACAGGACUUGACAUGGAGCUGGGUCUAAAGCAGAUGACCUGGUGGCUGCAGCGUGUUCCACACAGGCGAGCACUGUGAGGCCAAAGGACUGGUGUUGAGCAGAAUGAAAAAGCACAGUGUUGGUUAAUCCUGAAAAGUGAAGCCUGCAAGAAAUGAACUUCGACCUUGGAGUGGGGGUGGGACAGGGGCUAGAAGGAAGAGAGGCUCGGAAGUGUGUUGUGUAAACGUGGUUCUGUUUUGUCUAAUCUUUUACUACCUGUAGGGACAGGUGGAUGCAGUGGAGCUGCUGGCAGGAAAGGUGGAGUUUUUUCAAGGUCACGAGUUAAGCAAUAGAGUAGAAUAUCUUUGCAGCUGCAAGAGGAGGUGCGAGCAGCUUGUUCACAAGGUAUAUUUUGCAGGAGUUUCCCCUUACAAGAUCUUAUUUGCUUGAGAGUAGCGUUAAGGAUUUCUGUGCCAACAGUUAGCUGGAUCUCUGGGGUUGAAUCGUUAUCACCAAUCUAUAGUUAAAAUAAGCAUUAAAAAAAAAAAGGAGUCUACUUUCAAAGUUUUCCCGAAGUGCCAGUCUGAAGCAGCUACCUUUAAAAGCUGUUCUUGAAUAAUAGGUUGCUAUAUCCUAGUCUGUAAUCUUGGACUAAUGUCUGAGGAAGGAAAAAAAAAAAAAGAAUAUUCUCUCUUUGUCCGAUUAAGAAGUGGAGGUAGACAGCGAUUCGACAUGUUGUAUGGGCGAGGCUGUGCUGAGCUUGCGUCUGGGACAAUGACCAGACAGAUGAAAGGAGAAGUGAGAGAUAUUUUUAGCACAUCAGGACUGCUUUGAAACAUUGAUUUUUUUUCCAUCUCCUCCCACCCCCCAUAAUUCCAGCAGGAAGAUUCAGUGGCAGGCACUUUAAUUCAGUGUAAAAACAUCUUCUAUAUUACACACUAAAAUAUUCAUGAGGAAAGGGAGUUGCUGAUUUUAAGGCGUAGCUUUAAAACCCACGUCUGUCGGCUUGAUGGUCAGUGUCCCGCCACACAGUCUGGAAGUGUGACGUGGCCAAGGAGGACCCCCAGAAGGAUCCUGUGUCUUCCGUGGGGACUACUCCUUUCCUCAGAGGAGCGGGUUCACAGGAAACUGGAGCAGAAGGAUGCCUUUAGCCCCACUCCUGUUGGUCCUCAGUCCCUUCUCCUUUGAUCAGGUGGUUCAAGCACGCCUUGAAGUUCCGGUGUUCAAACAACGUGACCUCUGCAAUUACGUUCUAAUACUUGUCGGUGCCCAACUUAAACCACUAGCAAUGUUAGUUAAAAACAUCAGGGAGGCCGGGCGCGUGGCUCAUGCCUGUAGUCCCAGCACUUUGGGAGGCCUAGGCGGGCAGAUCACUUGAGGUCAAGAGUUCGAGACCAGCCUGGCCAACAUGGUGAAACUCUGUCUCUACUGAAAAUACAAAAAAAGUUAGCCAGGUGUGGUGGCGGGUGCCUGUAAUCCCAGCUACUUGGGAGGCUGAGGCUGAGGCAGGAGAAUCACUUGAACCCGGGAGGCAGAGGUUGCAGUGAGCUGAGAUCGCGCCACUGCAGUCUAGCCUGGGUGACAGAGACAAAACACAAAACAAAACAAAACACCUCAGGAGGCUGUAAAUCAAGCACAACUGAAGCAAAGAUAAAAACGGGCAGUCUCAGAAUCACCUUUGAAGGUGGAAGGAAGGGCGUUUGUGUGUGACAAGAAGAGUGUACGUUCAUACAAGGGUUUUUACUCCUCCUCUGAAAAGUCCUGCUUGGUGGCUGGCCAGUUUGUCAUGCUUGGCUGCCCAAGCAAGUGGUGGCAGUCGGAGCACAGGAGAAAGCCGCAGGGGGUGAGGAAGAAGUGCUGGAGAGGGCGCUCCACCUUUCGGCUGCCCUGACCUGUCUCCAGCCCCAGGGCAUGUGGUUCUGGGCCGGGCACUGGCCCCCUCUCUGUGGACUGUACCAGGCAGCGGGUAGUGCACAAGCUCUGAGGUCAGGCCACCUGGGCCUAAACUCCAGCUCUGCUCCUUGCUAGCAGUGUGACUCUGGGCACGUUCAAGUUACUUCAUGCUUUGUGCCUCAGUUUCCUCAUCUGUGAAAUGGGGAUGGUAACAGGACCCUCAUCCCAGGACUGCUGUGUGGAUUGAAGUGCCUGCAACGGGAUUUGUCUUUUCUGGGAUCGCGGUGGAUGCUCUAUUCCAGGUGAGGGAGUCUCUUGCUUUCUCCUACCUCUUGCAGCCGCUUUGCCUCUGAGUGGCAAAUAGCAAGUGGCUGAAAAUCACAAUGAGCCCGUCAGAGAAUGGGGAUGGGCCACAAGGCCACAGUCGGAUGGGUUCUCCAUGCCCUCGACUAUGCAGCGGGGUCAGGGCAUCCCUUCCUCCUGGGGUGCCCACACCAUUCCCUUGGAAGUUUAGACAGCAGCCCUUGCCUCGCCAGACGCAGCAACCCCUCCCAGCUACACGUGGAAUCUGUGGCCCAGCCUCCCUCAGAUGACCCGCAUUGCCUGACAGAGACCAGGGGCCCUGAGGGGUGGCUGUCGCUGGCCUGGGACAGGGUCCCUGCAGGUUUUCAGGGUCCUCAGCAGCAUUCGCCAGCGUCGGGUCAGACUGAGUCAUGGGGCCCGAGCUCUCCACGAGUUGGUUCUCCAGUUGGUUCUCGUUGGGGGUAAUGCCCUUCAUCGAACCGCUUCAUCCCCAGCCUGUAUUCUCUCUGAAGAGCACGAGCUUUUACGCUUCUCUCCCCAAAUCAACUGACUUUUUCAUUGCUUCUGUGGAGGCUUUCUGUGGGAGAAAAGCGUGUUUAUGGGGCAAGCUCAGAGAGCUCCUGUCCCCGUGGUGGAAUUUUUUUAGUGGCUCUGCCCACGUGGUGGUGAGCGCCGGUGAGGAUGGGACGCAUUUUCUGCUAAAAUGGCUGUGCGAGGCUGCCACCUCGUGGCCAGCACAAGGCAGUGAGUGUGUCCCUUGCUGGAGCUUCUGGGUGAAAUAAACUCAUUUUAAAGGUCUUCAGCAAGGACCUCACUCCCUCACUCUCUCAGUGUGCAUAUCAUUCCAGCUCCAGGGCUUAAUGCGUCUGUUGUGGCAUCUCUCAAAUCUGUACUUUGCUAUCUCUUUGACUACAGAGUCACUACCUUCCGAUAAGCCCUUCUGCUGUCUCCAGACCGAUCCUUCUAAAGCGUAGAUGUCAUUGUCUUUCUCUCAUUAAAGCUCUUUCAUGGCUCCUCAUUUUCCAGGUUCCAGCUCAUGUCUCAGGAGGCCGCUAAGCCCACUCCUCUGCCCCAGCCUGUGUCUGCGCACGUCUCUUCUCCCUUCCUCCUGGUUUCCUCUGGCUGAUACCUGCUCACCUGAAAGUCAUCUCAGGUGCCACCUCCUCCAGGGAUUCCUCGCAUUAGAUUAGCUUCCUUCUUCCCCAUUCCUAGCUGACUUCCUUCAUUAUGCCUCAGAUCCUUUUUUUGGAAGAAAAAGAAAGAAAUGGAAGACAGACUGGCCAGCAGGGGGAGAGAGAGGGAGGGAGGGCAUAUCAGAGAAUUCAAUAUGCUGCGUUUUAACCAGAUACUUUUCUUCCUCUCCCACAAGGCAUCAGAGUAGAGACUGCCUUUCAUCUCUCUCCCCCUUGUGUAAUAGCACAGUGUCUGGCAGAUAACUGUUGCUUGCUAAUUAUUAGAAGGAAGAAAGGGAGGGAGAAUAAAAGCCAGCAUCACCAUGUGAUCUUCCUAAGUGCGACAGAUGUGAGAAAAGAACUACCUUAAGCUCCAGGGGCCCUAGAGGAACGGCGCUGCGUGCUAGUGCAGAUGGUAGCAAACGCUCUCACCUGGCUUGGCAACACUUCUUCACCUCUUCUUUCUACCACCACAGCGACUGUCUCCCUCCAGCCCAUCCUACUGCCAAAUUCAUCUUCUAUUAAGCAUAGCUUCAAUCACAUCAUUUCUUUAUCAAAACACUUCUACAGAGGAGUUCCAAAUGCUUUAGCCGGGCCGUCCAGGGCCUCCACAGGAUGACCCCAGCCCAUCUAGUUUUCUACCACUCUUUAUGUGUUUCCUAAGUACCAUUCAUUAUUUUAGGACUUGGUAUUUGCUGAUGAAUUUACUUACUUACUUGAGAGUGUGGCAAAAGCACAUCCUAAACUUUCAGUUAAAAGGAGUUUGAUUGAUUGACCUGCUCUGAGUUUAAGGCACGUGCUGGUCACUGUGGGAGCCAUUAAAGAAGGUAUUGUUCUGUGGCCGCCAGGAACAGAUAGCCCAGCUGGGGACAAGACAAAAAAGCAGGGGGCAUUAAGGAACAGACAGCAGAAAGGAACAUGUCACAAGUGCACAAUUAAUCGCCAAAUAUAUGGCUCAAGAAGGGGUGGUGAUCAAACCAGAUAAUGUCUGUGAAAGUGCCUCUCUCCUGUCAAACUCCCAAUUCCGAGCAGUCCUACAGUCGGCCCCUUCCACAGGGCGUAGCCCUGUCAUUCCACCUCAAACGUCGUACACACUCGGCCUGUCCUACAAAGCCCUUCGUGAUAAGGCCUGCUUCUCCUUCCCACCUUGUGGGACCCCCGACCCUGGAACCCCGAGCUGCAGAGCUGGAGAGAAUGCACUCUGUUGUUUGGUAUACGUGUUCCUUGAAACAUUCACUCCUCCCCAUUUUCCUUCGGUGUUUAACCUGUUCUUCCUUUAAAAUUCGGCUUUUCCUUUAAAAUCCAGCCUGGAGCUCCCCAAUGAAGACUUCUGUGGCGCUGCAGGCAAAACUCACCACCUGCAGAGUCUCUGCUCUCCCUUGUCAAAUACGCGUUUGUGACAUACAUUGGAAGGCAUCGGGCACAUUUCUGUCAUCUGUGUGACUGUGGACCUCUGCCGCAGGGGUCAUGUCCUUUCCCUUUACAGUGCUUGAUGAGGUACACGUCUUGUCAAUGUUUGUCACGGACUGAAACUUAACACAUUAGAGAGGACAGCAAAGUCAGUUGACUCUAAAUUGUUAAGGCACAAGCUCUGUGAGUUCAGAAGAGACAUGUGCCAGAAUCGGUCCAGGGAGGUUCUUAGAACCUACCAGUUCUAAGUAGGAGUUCUUAGAACCUACCAGUUCUAAGUAGGAAUUCUUAGAACUGGAAGGUCAAAGCUUUGUACAUGUGAAAUAGAUCAAACAAUAAAAAGAAUUCCAUGUAGAAUAGCUCAGUGUCUGUGGCUCCUAAUGGCUCCCCCAUUCUCUGCACCAGCCAGCGGGAGGAGAAAGCCUGCAGAGUGGGGGCAGCGGAGACAGAACAUCUUAACCCCAGCAGAGGCUUUAUCUAAGGAAGUAGAGCGAAUGCCCUGAAGGUGGGUUGGACUUAGGUGGUGGAAAGGUUUCAAAUGCACUCUGUUAUCUUGCAGGUAGUGGCUGCCAUUUAUUACUUUAGAAAACCAUGGCGACUUCAUCAAAGUGGUGUUUUAGAAAGAUGAUCCAGGGCCGUCUUUUCCCUUUGAGAGUGGGAGGUGCCCUGUGGCCCUACCUUCAUUUUCUGUGAUGGUAUUCCCAGUGGUUUCCUCCCUGUGGCUUUGCGGCUUAGUGGUGAACCAAGAGGCUUAGGAUGCAGGUGCAAAGCCCCUCUACUCUUUAAUGCCUCACUUCAAGGUGCAGGAUCUUUCCCUCUGUAAACAAAGGCUUUCCUUCUGGCACUGCCCUUGACCUGCUCAGAGCUGUUCUCUGAUCCUUUGGGUCUCUCUGCCCUCGUGACUGGCAGUGACCUGCUAGGCAGCAACCCCCACGCAGCAGGUGGUCCUCCAGAGCUGAGUCACCACCCCGGGAACCGUGCCCUGGUGAGGCCAUCCAAGGUAGACCGGCACAGGGCGGGUGUGAGUGGCCUCUCCACCUGGCCCCUCGGUCUGGGAGGGCUCUUUCAGCUUGACAGAGAGAGCAAAGGAAACUCGGAUUUUUGGCAAAGCAGAAAAACAUUUUACCUGUGAUCACAGUUAUGGGCCUUGGUCAGUCAUUUGAUUUCAGCACACCCAAAUUGUCCAUUUACAGAUACCUUGAGACAUGGAAAGGGAGGAAAUUUUUUAAUGAUGUUUUAAGAUUCUGUUUGACCUCAUGAAUUAAGAGCGGUGAGAAGUAAUAGAACACGGAGAGAUACCUAAGCCAUUGAUUGAUAUUGUAGGCAAUAAACAAGUGAGAUUCAGAUUAUUUUUAAAAAUUUUUUUCAUGGGCACUGAUGGAUGUUUAAAAAAUUAUGACGUGUUCUGUUCAUGACGCGUUCUGUUCAUUUCCAGAGAAGAGAAAAAUGUGGUUGCUUUUGAAAGGAGGUUUUUUGUUUUGUUUUGUUUUGUUUUUAAACGUCUAGCUUAUUCAUUACACCAGCGAAUAGCAAUGACCUCAGUCUAAAAAGCAAGUUAACCAUCAUCUCUCUCCUUGCCUGGGAAAAGAAGCCUUUAUCUAAGUAGCCAAAAGAUGGGCAAGGCUGACCACCCAGUCAUUUCGGCUGAUCAGGAUUUUCCAAAAAACAAAAAGCUCUCUGUUUUCACAACUGAGUGACAACUCUUAGGAAAUACUACCAGCUUACUCAGUUUGAGUAAGGCCAUGGAGAAGUCUGGUGACAGUCAGUUGCCUGGAUGCACAUGUUACACAUGGCUAACGAUGCUGUCACCACUGGGAGCUUUCAGAAUUGGAGAAAAUAACACCGUGUCUCUUGCUUUCUGAACAUGGAAUUUUUAACUUUUUUUUUUUUUUUUUCUGGAGACAGAGUCUCGCUCUGGCGCCCAGGCUGGAGUGCAGUGGCAUGAUCUCAGCUCACUACAACCUCCACCUCCCGGGUUCAAACAAUUCUCCUGCCUCAGCCUCCCAAGUAGCUGGGAUUACAGGUGCCCACCACCACGCCUGGCUAAUUUCUGUAUUUUUAGUAGAGAUGGGGUUUUGCCAUGUUGGCCAAGCCGGUGUUGAACCCCUGGCCUCAGGUGAUCCACCCACCUCAGCCUCCCAAAGUGCUGGGAUUACAGGCAUGAGCCACCCCAUGCCCAGCUGGAAUUUUUUAACUUAAAAAAAAAAAGUUUCAGUGUUUGUCCUUACCCAUUAUGUGCCCAGUUAGUUCUAUACCAGUGAAAGUUCCCCCCAAAAGAAAAAGAAAAAGAAAAAAAAGACUGUCAUUUUCUUGAGCAGCUUUCUUGAGCUCUGUGUGUGUAUGCCUAUGUCUGGGGCAUACACAAGGACUCUGGCAGGCCCACUAAACUCUACCACGUAGUUGCCAGAUAUGCUGUAAACUGUCACCUGGAAGUUGGGAUUUACUCUUUUAUUUUUCUGUUUAUUUUGCAUGAGUACUGUAUGUAUAAAAAAGUAGCCACAUAUGGAUGGUCAAAGGGUUUCCUAGAAAUAUGGAUAGUCAGAGGGCUUCCUAGAAAUAUGGAUGGUCAAAGGUAUCCUAGUUUUUCAGGUAAACUCCACUAGAAACCAGAACCAUAUCCCAAUUCCAUAGCCUUUAUUAUUUCAGAUCAAUAGAAGCAGAAUCAAAAUGCAUUUGGAGCUUAGAGGUCAAUUGAUUUGGAAACCACUCCGGUGCAAAGAAUCUCUAGAUUCAUUGAUUUUGGAGUAUUGUUUAGGGGAAAAGGACUUUAAAGGCUGGGCGGGG